rnacentral:tRNA from 1 species
GGGUCGAUGCCCGAGUGGUUAAAGGGGGUGGACUGUAAAUCCAUUGAAAACAUUCUUCAUAGGUUCAAAUCCUAUUCGGUCGU